GGUACUAGGGUCUAUGUCACCAUGGCUUGGACUCCUCUCCUCCUCAUGCUCCUGUCUCACUGCACAGGUUCCCUGUCCCAGCCUGUGCUGACCCAGCCUCCCUCCCUCUCUGCAUCUCCGGGAACAACAGCCAGACUCACCUGCACCCUGAGCAGUGGCUACAAUGUGGGAAGCUAUUACAUAAACUGGUUCCAGCAGAAGCCAGGGAGCCCUCCCCGGUUUCUCCUGUGGUUCUAUUCAGACUCCAAUAAAUACCAGGGCUCCGGGGUCCCCAGCCGCUUCUCUGGGUCCAAAGAUGCGUCGACCAAUGCAGGGCUUCUGCUCAUCUCUGGGCUGCAGCCUGAGGACGAGGCUGACUACUACUGUGCUACAGGUCACAGCAGUGGGAGCAAUUAUCGUUACUCACAGUGA